GACAAACGCUGGCGGCGUACCUAAGACAUGCAAGUCGAACGGGUACGGACCCUUCGGGGUGGCGUGCUAGUGGCGGACGGGUGAGUAACGCGUAGGAACCUAUCGCACAGUGGGGGAGUACCACGGGGAAACCGGGUGUUAAUACCGCAUGUGGUCAGCAAUGACGAAAGCAGCAAUGCGCUGUGUGCGGGGCCGUGCGUCCGAUUAGCUCGUUGGUGGGGUAAGGGCCGUACCAAGGCGACGAUCGGAGCUGGUCUGAGAGGAUGGUCAGCCACACUGGGACUGAGACACGGCCC
rnacentral:rRNA from 1 species